ensembl:snRNA U6 U6 spliceosomal RNA
GUGCUUGCUUCUGCAGCACGUAUACUAAAACUGGAACGAUACAGAGAAGAUGGCCCCUGCACAAGGAUGACACACAUGUUCGUGAGGUGCUCCAUAAAAAU